GACGAACGCUGGCGGCGUGCUUAACACAUGCAAGUCGAACGGAAAGGCCCUGCUUUUGUGGGGUGCUCGAGCGGCGAACGGGUGAGUAACACGUGAGUAACCUGCCCUUGACUUUGGGAUAACUUCAGGAAACUGGGGCUAAUACCGGAUAGGAGCUCCUGCUGCAUGCUGGGGGUUGGAAAGUUUCGGCGGUUGGGGAUGGACUCGCGGCUUAUCAGCUUGUUGGUGGGGUAGUGGCUUACCAAGGCUUUGACGGGUAGCCGGCCUGAGAGGGUGACCGGCCACAUUGGGACUGAGAUACGGCCCAGACUCCUACGGGAGGCAGCAGUGGGGAAUAUUGCACAAUGGGCGGAAGCCUGAUGCAGCAACGCCGCGUGCGGGAUGACGGCCUUCGGGUUGUAAACCGCUUUCGCCUGUGACGAAGCGUGAGUGACGGUAAUGGGUAAAGAAGCACCGGCUAACUACGUG
rnacentral:rRNA from 1 species